CAUUGCAUAAUAUAUAAUAAUGGACAUUAAUAUACGAACUGAGAUCACUAAAAUAUCUAAAUAAACAAUAAUAUAAAAAUAAGUCGGAUUUUCCCUCCUGACGUUAUAACUCCAGAACGCAUGAACCGAUUUCCACGGUUUUACAUUCAUUGGAAAGGUCUUAAGGCUCCGUGAGGUUUAUAGCAAAGAAAAUUCAGGAAAAAAUCAAGAGAAAUUCAGGAAAACAGGGAAAAUCAUUGGUGGCGAAACGGAGUUCACCGGUUUUGCUAGUAUAUCAUAUAAUCAUAUUAACGGCUUCAUCAAUUUGACAAGGUAAUUUAACUAUGUAUUUUUUCACUCAAUGCUGUUGAUGAUCAGAGACCAAAAAUAUAAUACCCCUACGAAACAUACAGCAAUAGCGAAGAACGUGUAUUCAUUAGAAUGAAUUCAUCAAUAAAUUGAUAAAAAAAUGGCGUCACAUUGAGUAUAGAAGAUAAAAUUAGAAUAAAAUUUGUCUAAAUAAGAUACCUACGUGUGUCAGACUCGUUUGAGCAAGUUUUUUUAUGAAGAAAUCAUUAUUCACAGUCUUAUUUGACAUAAGGUUCAAUUUUACUUAAAAAAUGGAUUUUUCAGUGUCUAAAGUAGGCUACAAAUAUGAACAUUCGUUAGCCCAAAAACAAAAACAAGUAAAAAUACAUGUUACUCAUAAUAUUCUUAAGGUAUGCGUCCAGAGGCCCCCAUCGUACGCAUCGCACGCAACGAAUUUUAGUUUGUCUUGUAUAGAAACCCAUACAACUGCGUCCACUGAUCCGCAUCGUACGGACCGCAUCAUCGGCAAUGCCUACAUGCGAUGCGUACUGAUGACGUCAUAUGGAAUGCGUACGAUGUGGGCAUGUGGACGCUUACCUUUAAUAGUACCUCUGAUUAACAGUUUAGCUUCAAAUUAAGAUAUUUUUUCAGAGCAAAUAUACAGUCAAAAGUAAUUAUUUUGAGCCUACCAUGGGAAAUGGCACUUUAAAUGGCAAAAAUAGUUUCAAAAUUAACCAAAAGUAUCAAUAAAUAAA